UACGGAGGGUGCGAGCGUUGUCCGGAAUCAUUGGGCGUAAAGCGCGUGUAGGCGGCCCGAUAAGUCCGCUGUGAAAGUCCAGGGCUCAACCCUGGGAUGCCGGUGGAUACUGUCGGGCUCGAGUCCGGAAGAGGCGAGUGGAAUUCCUGGUGUAGCGGUGAAAUGCGCAGAUAUCAGGAGGAACACCAAUGGGGAAGGCCGCCCGGUGGGACGUGACUGACGCUGAGACGCGAAAGCGUGGGGAGCAAACAGG
rnacentral:rRNA from 1 species